GCUACCGUUCUGAAAUUCCAUUUCUCAUCUAAUGAGGGGAAAAGAUCCGAACCUUCUUUUGUUAUGGUUGAUUUUAAGACUUGGAUACGGUGUCUUACACACAAGAGUUGGUUGAUCAUACCUAUGAGUAAUCUGGCUAUAAUUAGUGAUUACCUUAUUGGAAGGAUCCAUGCAUUCUGACAUCAUAGAGGUGAAUAUAUCUGAACUUUUUUGGGCGCAUCUUUCAGUCUUUUUGUUGCUGCAUGUUUCAGUCUUCAUGUGCAGCUGAAUUAAACAUGAUGUCAUAAGAUGCCUCAUAUAUCUUUUACAUGUAUUUAAGAAAAUUUUGUUUAGCUUCCAAUCUUUCUUGGCCCUAGGCUACAGAAAUUUGUUUCUUGUUGCAACUAAAUUUAAGAAGUUUAUAACAAAUUAAUUCAGAUGUAUGGAUCUACGAUGCAACUAAUUGGGAUUUUGUUCAGUUCCCAUAAAUACUUUGGGUAUUUUAUUUUUGAGUUUGUUAUUGGUGCAAGUUUUGGUGAUAUUUUGAUUUAUGCAUAGCCAUACUAAUUUGGGCGCCAUCAUGCUGCACCUUUGUUUUGGUGUUCUUUUGGUUUGUGCACAGCCAUAAUUUUCUUAGCUGCUUGCAAGGGUAAUCUGGUUGUUUUUAAUUUCUAUCUUGGCAUUGCAAGAUGAGCAGGUGAUAGGUUCCAUUGAUUUUCAGCUCAUGAAUGAAACAUUUUCAAGAAUAGUGAUGUGUCAUUUAAUUCUCAGGCUGGAGUUAUUUAGAUUCAGUACCAAUUAUUCUUGAAUCUGCGAGGCACAUGUAGCAUUCAUGGUGCAGAGGAAUUACAUGGAUAUUAAAGAUCUUCUGUAAAAUAAUAUGAGAUAAACAUGGUUUAGGUGAAUCAUGCGGAGAUAUUUUCUUUAAAUGACAUAAUACAGCAACAUUAAUUUUUUGUCUCUGCAUUAGUUUUCAGUCCCUUGCAAUGUUGUUUCAUUUGCAUAGGUGCUGAUGGUUAUGAUAGUUAUUCAGUAAUGCAGGCUCCAUUCUCGAAAAAAAAAGUUAUGCAGGCUGUCAUUAGUUUCUUUACAUAUCUUGCUUCUUUGCAGUGAGAGUCGUGGCACUUCACACUACUGUGUGAGUACUUGAAUUGAUUUUGUUCACCUCCCAAUCGUUUAAUCUAAAGAACUGGGGCAUCCUAGGUUCCUGACAUUUUCUUUUACCUGCACCAUAUCCCUCUGCAUUGCUUUCUUUGUUCUCUACAAUCUACAAAUAUUGAUAUAAAAAAUUCUUUUUUGUAUAUAUAUAUUCUUAAAUAGUUUUGGGCAUCAUGUAUUUCCAUUCUUAAAUAUGGCAGCUGGACUAAAAAGUGUUUCCAUGUAUAAAGCUGAGUACCAUAACAGCCUGAUGCAUAUCCUAUAUUUUGUUUUCAGAAUAAAAAAUGUCUGCCUGAUUUUUCAUUUACAGAAGUAUUUCAUGUACAAGGGGAACUUAUAGUGUUUACUCACGUAUGCCAAGUACAGAAUUCAGAUCAUUUUCUGGUGUUGAGAGUAUAACAUUUCCUUUAUUCUCAAACAUUUUCCUUUCUCUGGUCUCCUUAAUAUUGCUCUGAUUAAAGCAUUCUUUUGUUUUGUUACAGCCUAAUGGAGACUGUCAAGAUGGAACUAUUGAGCUUGAGACUGUCACUGUCGAGAUCCUGUCCAGUCUAUUUCUUUCUUUUGCAGCGUUCAGCUGUAAUGACCUCCAGCUAGCAGGAUAAAGAAAAACUAACAAGCAUUAGAGUCAGGAUGGCGGGGAAAGAACUAUAAUGGAAGCACUGAACAUGGCCACACUGAAGUUACUGAAUAUUAAUGUUCCAAUUACAACAAUCAGGGCAACCUUAUGAAUCAAGCAGUACGUCGGCGAUGUAAAUAUACUUUUACGGAUGCGGGAGGGAGAAGGUAUUCUCUCCAUACCUGAUCAUUUAUUUCUUCGUAAGCACAUUCUUUUGGUGAUUUCUAAUUAGUUAAGCAUGUUGGUAUCCACUAUUUUACAUUUUGGGACAGUUGUGCUAACGAAACCACAAUCAGCUAGCUGCUUUGUGCCUGGUGUUAGAUAUUGAAACCUCUGCACUCUUUUA